rnacentral:rRNA from 1 species
CGGUGAAUACGUUCCCGGGCCUUGUACACACCGCCCGUCAAGCCAUGGGAGUUGGGGGUACCUAAAAGUCCAUCACCGCAAGGAGUGGCCUAGGGUAAAAACCGAUGACUGGGGCU